AUCGCUUCUCGGCCUUUUGGCUAAGAUCAAGUGUUGUAUCAAAUACUUUAUCAGGUAUCAUCCCAUCAGGCAAAUGGGUCCAAAUCCAGGUUUAUUAUACAGGCCAAGUGGUUAAAAGAAUAUAUUUUGUAAUAACUUACUACUAGUUUUACUUAAAUGAAAAAGAAAAUCUCAU
ensembl:snRNA U2 U2 spliceosomal RNA